UUACGAAGUAGCCGUUGGUAUAGUUUGC
rnacentral:sRNA from 1 species